UUCCGUUUGGGGAACGUGCGGAGGGAUCAUUACCGAGUUUACAACUCCCAAACCCCUGUGAACAUACCACUUGUUGCCUCGGCGGAUCAGCCCGCUCCCGGUAAAACGGGACGGCCCGCCAGAGGACCCCUAAACUCUGUUUCUAUAUGUAACUUCUGAGUAAAACCAUAAAUAAAUCAAAACUUUCAACAACGGAUCUCUUGGUUCUGGCAUCGAUGAAGAACGCAGCAAAAUGCGAUAAGUAAUGUGAAUUGCAGAAUUCAGUGAAUCAUCGAAUCUUUGAACGCACAUUGCGCCCGCCAGUAUUCUGGCGGGCAUGCCUGUUCGAGCGUCAUUUCAACCCUCAAGCACAGCUUGGUGUUGGGACUCGCGUUAAUUCGCGUUCCUCAAAUUGAUUGGCGGUCACGUCGAGCUUCCAUAGCGUAGUAGUAAAACCCUCGUUACUGGUAAUCGUCGCGGCCACGCCGUUAAACCCCAACUUCUGAAUGUGACCUCGGAUCAGGUAGAUNCC
rnacentral:rRNA from 1 species